GCACCUGUAGCCAAGAGGUUAAGGCGAGUGACUGCAACUCACUUAUCAUAAGUUCAAAUCUUAUUGGGUGCUCCA
rnacentral:tRNA from 1 species